rnacentral:rRNA from 1 species
CCUACGGGGCGCAGCAGUGAGGAAUAUUGGUCAAUGGACGAGAGUCUGAACCAGCCAAGUAGCGUGAAGGAUGACUACCCUAGGGGUUGUAAACUUCUUUUAUAUGGGAAUAAAAUGUUCCACGUGUGGGAUUUUGUAUGUACCAUAUGAAUAAGGAUCGGCUAACUCCGAGCCAGCAGCGGCGGUAAUACGGAGGAUCCGAGCGUUAUCCGGAUUUAUUGGGUUUAAAGGGAGCGUAGGUGGAUUGUUAAGUCAGUUGUGAAAGUUUGCGGCUCAACCGUAAAAUUGCAGUUGAAACUGGCAGUCUAGAGUACAGUAGAGGUGGGCGGAAUUCGUGGUGUAGCGGUGAAAUGCUUAGAUAUCACGAAGAACUCCGAUUGCGAAGGCAGCUCACUGGACUGCAACUGACACUGAGGCUCGAAAGUGUGGGUAUCAAACAGGAUUAGAUACCCGGGUAGUC